GACGAACGCUGGCGGCGUGCUUAACACAUGCAAGUCGAACGGAAAGGCCCUGCUUUUGUGGGGUGCUCGAGUGGCGAACGGGUGAGUAACACGUGAGUAACCUGCCCUUGACUUUGGGAUAACUUCAGGAAACUGGGGCUAAUACCGGAUAGGAGCUCCUGCUGCAUGGUGGGGGUUGGAAAGUUUCGGCGGUUGGGGAUGGACUCGCGGCUUAUCAGCUUGUUGGUGGGGUAGUGGCUUACCAAGGCUUUGACGGGUAGCCGGCCUGAGAGGGUGACCGGCCACAUUGGGACUGAGAUACGGCCCAGACUCCUACGGGAGGCAGCAGUGGGGAAUAUUGCACAAUGGGCGGAAGCCUGAUGCAGCAACGCCGCGUGCGGGAUGACGGCCUUCGGGUUGUAAACCGCUUUCGCCUGUGACGAAGCGUGAGUGACGGUAAUGGGUAAAGAAGCACCGGCUAACUACGUGCCAGCAGCCGCGGUGAUACGUAGGGUGCGAGCGUUGUCCGGAUUUAUUGGGCGUAAAGGGCUCGUAGGUGGUUGAUCGCGUCGGAAGUGUAAUCUUGGGGCUUAACCCUGAGCGUGCUUUCGAUACGGGUUGACUUGAGGAAGGUAGGGGAGAAUGGAAUUCCUGGUGGAGCGGUGGAAUGCGCAGAUAUCAGGAGGAACACCAGUGGCGAAGGCGGUUCUCUGGGCCUUUCCUGACGCUGAGGAGCGAAAGCGUGGGGAGCGAACAGGCUUAGAUACCCUGGUAGUCCACGCUGUAAACGGUGGGUACUAGGUGUGGGGUCCAUUCCACGGGUUCCGUGCCGUAGCUAACGCUUUAAGUACCCCGCCUGGGGAGUACGGCCGCAAGGCUAAAACUCAAAGGAAUUGACGGGGCCCCGCACAAGCGGCGGAGCAUGCGGAUUAAUUCGAUGCAACGCGUAGAACCUUACCUGGGUUUGACAUGGAUCGGGAGUGCUCAGAGAUGGGUGUGCCUCUUUUGGGGUCGGUUCACAGGUGGUGCAUGGCUGUCGUCAGCUCGUGUCGUGAGAUGUUGGGUUAAGUCCCGCAACGAGCGCAACCCUUGUUCACUGUUGCCAGCACGUUAUGGUGGGGACUCAGUGGAGACCGCCGGGGUCAACUCGGAGGAAGGUGGGGAUGACGUCAAGUCAUCAUGCCCCUUAUGUCCAGGGCUUCACGCAUGCUACAAUGGCUGGUACAGAGAGUGGCGAGCCUGUGAGGGUGAGCGAAUCUCGGAAAGCCGGUCUCAGUUCGGAUUGGGGUCUGCAACUCGACCUCAUGAAGUCGGAGUCGCUAGUAAUCGCAGAUCAGCAACGCUGCGGUGAAUACGUUCCCGGGGCUUGUACACACCGCCCGUCAAGUCAUGAAAGUAGGUAACACCCGAAGCCGGUGGCCUAACCGUUGUGGGGGAGCCGUCGAAGGUGGGACUGGUGAUUAGG
rnacentral:rRNA from 1 species